rnacentral:rRNA from 1 species
GACGAACACUGGCGGCGCGCCUAACACAUGCAAGUCGAACGAGCGAGAGAGAGCUUGCUUUCUUGAGCGAGUGGCGAACGGGUGAGUAACGCGUGAGGAACCUGCCUCAAAGAGGGGGACAACAGUUGGAAACGACUGCUAAUACCGCAUAAGCCCACGGUGCCGCAUGGCACAGAGGGAAAAGGAGCAAUCCGCUUUGAGAUGGCCUCGCGUCCGAUUAGCUAGUUGGUGAGGUAACGGCCCACCAAGGCGACGAUCGGUAGCCGGACUGAGAGGUUGAACGGCCACAUUGGGACUGAGACACGGCCCAGACUCCUGCGGGAGGCAGCAGUGGGGAAUAUUGCACAAUGGGGGAAACCCUGAUGCAGCGACGCCGCGUGGAGGAAGAAGGUCUUCGGAUUGUAAACUCCUGUUGUUGGGGAAGAUAAUGACGGUACCCAACAAGGAAGUGACGGCUAACUACGUG